rnacentral:rRNA from 1 species
GAUGAACGCUGGCGGCGUGCCUAAUACAUGCAAGUCGAGCGAACAGACGAGGAGCUUGCUCCUCUGACGUUAGCGGCGGACGGGUGAGUAACACGUGGAUAACCUACCUAUAAGACUGGGAUAACUUCGGGAAACCGGAGCUAAUACCGGAUAAUAUAUUGAACCGCAUGGUUCAAUAGUGAAAGACGGUUUUGCUGUCACUUAUAGAUGGAACCGCGCCGCAUUAGCUAGUUGGUAAGGUAACGGCUUACCAAGGCGACGAUGCGUAGCCGACCUGAGAGGGUGAUCGGCCACACUGGAACUGAGACACGGUCCAGACUCCUACAGGAGGCAGCAGUAGGGAAUCUUCCGCAAUGGGCGAAAGCCUGACGGAGCAACGCCGCGUGAGUGAUGAAGGUCUUCGGAUCGUAAAACUCUGUUAUUAGGGAAGAACAAAUGUGUAAGUAACUAUGCACGUCUUGACGGUACCUAAUCAGAAAGCCACGGCUAACUACGUG